UACUCUGAUCUUCUCCCUUGUCCAUUUGCCUCGUCUCAUUUCGGCGGACUUUUUCCGAGUGUCGCCUCCUCCGCCACCCACGAUCUCCCCGCCAGAGGCUCGGGUGGGAUGGAGCUGAAGCCAGGCUUGUCGGCCCUCGUCACCGGCGGCGCCUCCGGCAUCGGGAAAGCUCUAUGCAUUGCUCUUUCAAGGAAGGGUCUGUUUGUGACUGUCAUUGAUUUCUCUGAAGAAAACGGAAGAGAAGUUGUUUCGGUAGUUCAAAAGGAAAACAAACAUAUUCAUCAAUAUGCUAGAGUUCCAUCUGCCAUAUUCAUCAAGUGUGAUGUUACCAAUGGAGAUGCUCUUGCUGCUGCUUUUCGGAAACAUGUGGACACGUUUGGUGGACUAGAUAUCUGCAUCAACUGUGCUGGAUUUGUCAAUAAAUCAUUGGUUUACGAUGAUAAAUCUGAUGGAACUUCCACUUGGAGGCGUGCUGUAAAUGUGAAUCUUGUUGCUGUUAUCGAUGGUACUCGCAUUGCAUCUCAAGUAAUGCGAUCCCAGAAGAAGCCUGGUGUCAUAAUAAAUAUUGGCUCAGUUGCUGGCAUAUAUCCUAUGAGCUAUGAACCAGUGUAUAGCGGGACAAAAGGGGGUGUGGUUAUGUUUACAAGAUCACUUGCUCCACUGAAGCGGCAUGGCAUUCGUGUCAAUGUACUGUGCCCUGAGUUUGUCCAAACUAAUAUGGGAGAACAAGUAAAUCGUGUACUUGUGGACGCGCUUGGUGGAUUUUUAAAGGUGGAGGAUGUUGUUAAUGGUGCAUUUGAGCUUAUAGAAGAUGAGAGCAAAGCUGGUGCUUGCCUUUGGAUAUCUAAACGUAAAGGGAUGGUUUACUGGCCAACAUCAGAAAUAGAAAAAAAUUACCUUGUUUAUUCCUCGAAAUCAAAAAAGGAAAUAGUAAAGAAUAGAUUUCCUAGUAUCCAAGCACCUGAAUACUUUCAGAAGAUUGUUGUUCACACACUCAGCCAUAAUUUCCGGAAUGCUACAAGGCUUGAGCGUGUGCGCCUGAGAUUACCCAUUGAACCGCACAGCGCUCUAGUCAAAAUUAUAUAUGCUGGUGUAAAUGCUAGUGAUGUAAACUUCAGUUCUGGUCGUUAUUUCAGAGCUAAUGGUAAAGAAGCUGCUUCGUACCUUCCAUUUGAUGCUGGUUUUGAGGCCGUGGGAAUUGUUGCUUCUGCUGGAGAUUUGGUGAAACAUAUCACAGUUGGCACUCCUGUGGCCCUUAUGACUUUUGGAAGCUAUGCUGAAUUCAUGCUGAUUUCAGCCAAAAGUCUUAUUCCAGUGCCAAGACCAGACCCAGAGGUGGUCGCUAUGUUAACAUCAGGAUUGACUGCAUCCAUCGCUCUUGAAAAGGCUGGUCAAAUGACAUCUGGACAGGUUGUUUUAGUCACUGCAGCUGCUGGUGGAACAGGACAAUUUGCUGUUCAGCUUGCAAAAUUAGCAGGCAACAAGGUUGUAGCCACAUGUGGAGGUGAAAGUAAAUCUACGUUUCUGACUUCCUUAGGAGUUGAUCGAGUUAUCAACUACCGAAGUGAAAAGAUCAAAGAUGUCCUGAAAAAAGAGUUUCCAAGAGGGGUCGAUAUCAUAUAUGAAUCAGUAGGUGGAGAAACAUUUGAUGUGUGUCUGAAUGCUCUAGCAGUCUAUGGACGUCUCAUUGUAAUUGGUAUGAUCUCUCAGGAGCUCUGCCUUUCAAUUAAGGUAAGGAAAGAGAGUUUAUGUACAAGCAAAGGCACUCCAAAAGGAGGGUUUAAGGCCCCCAGAAACAGGGACACUCCCCAGGGCCAAAACAGCGGCUAAACAUAAGCGAAAGCUCUCUUCCUUUGCUCUAUAUCUUCCUUUAUUCUUGUGGCCACUUGCGACACUGUUUCUAUGGCGUUGUUGAAGAUUCUCCUGUUUCUCUCUUUCCAAAUGUUCCAAAAGGUGUAGAUUACUACCCCAUUGAGUCUUCUGCGUUCGAAACUAGGCACCUUCCUUGCCGCCUCUUCCCACCAUGCUCUAAUAUGGAUGGGGUUGGCCUGAGGCUGCUGCUGUUGUUGUAGUUCAGUGAAGUUUUCCCAGGAGAGGAUUUGAUCCCAAACCGCCUUAGCAAAAGGGCAACAUAGGCAUAGGUGGAGGCCGGUUUCAAGGGGACCGUUGCACAACACACAGUUUGCUUGGUGUGGCCAUCCUCUCUUUUGUAGGUUGUGCGCCGUAAGAAUUUUAUCUUGCACCAAAAUCCAGGCAAAGAUCUUGCAUUUGUUCUCCACUUGUGCUUUCCAAAUGAGUUCAUUACUGAACAUGACGACGGAGCCUUUGAAUUGAAUUCUAUAAGCCGAACGGGUGGAGUAGAUCCCAUCCUGUGUCCAACGCCAAGUGAUGGAGUCCUUAACGCCCUCCUGAAGCUGCACAUCCUGAAUACGUAUCCAAAGGGACACAAAUUCCUCUAAGUGAACAGUCGAGGUGAUUUUCCCCCUUAGCGAGCGCAUCCAACUAUUGUUUCUGAGCUCUUGUUGCACUGUUCGGUUUUUCCUCAACACAAGCUGAAACAAAUUUGGGGCUAGGUACCUUGGAGCUUCACCAUCAAGCCAGUUAUGGUGCCAAAAUCGAGUCUUUGCGCCAUCACCCAGAGUUAUUGUGGUUGAGGAGUUGAAGAGAAGACGAUCAACAUUAGUACAUGGAAGUUCUGAGCCAAUCCAUGGCUUGGAGUCCUCUGUCCAUUGUUGCCAAAGCCAACGCAAUCGAAGGGCUCUCCCAAAUCUAUCAAGGUCAGGAACGCCUAAGCCCCCAAGGUUUUUGGGUCUGGUAACUGUUGGCCAGUUAACCAGGCAGUGACUGCCAUUAGCAUUCUCCUCCCCCUUCCAUAAGAAUGAUCUCCUGAUUUUGUCGAUCUUCUUUCUAGCCCAUGCCGCUAGGGGGAAUACUGUGAGGUGGUAGGUUGGCAUGGAGGAGAGGACUGAAGUUACUAGAGUGAGGCGUCCCGCUUUGUUUAACCAUCUUCCUUUCCAUUUGGGUAACCUUUGUCCAAUACGCUCAAUGAGAGGUUGCACAUGGACCUUUUUCAAAGAUCUGGUAUGGAGUUGCAGCCCUAGAUAUUUGCAUGGAAAGGUACCUCUAGUACCGGCGAAGGGUGAUAGGACUUGGUCUAAAUCAACAUUUUCACAUCUGAUUGCAUGCACAGAACUUUUUUCCAAAUUAAUGUGUAGUCCUGAGAAGGUGCCGAAUGCCUGUAGAAUAAUUUUGACAGCUUCCAUAUCUUCUUUUAUUGGGUUGAUGAAAAGAGCUGCAUCAUCGGCAUACAUAGAGGUUCUCCAUUUGGCUGCCAUGGAGGGUAAGGGGGUGAGUAUCCCAUGUUGGGUCGCUUGGUCAAGCAAGCGUUGAAGCGGGUCCAUAGCCAUUAUGAAAAGCAUAGGUGAAAGCGGAUCACCCUGCCGGACACCUCUGGCAUGGCAAAAGGUGGGUCCUUGUCGCCCGUUGAGCAAGGUUGUCGAAGUGGAUGUACGGAAGAGAAUAGAUAUCCAUUCACGCCAGCGUGGUCCGAAUCCCAGGGCCUGUAGGAUCUCAAGUAAGUAACCCCAAUUCACUGUAUCAAAGGCUUUGUGGAUGUCCAGCUUCAAGAACAAAGCUGGAAUCUUCUGACUGUGUAGCUUUCGCACUGCUCCCUGAACAUAAAGAAAAUUAUCAUGGAUGCUUCUCUUUUUUAUGAAUGCACUCUGGCAAUUGGAGACAAGUGAGUUCAGUCGAGGGGCUAGUCUGUUAGCUAGCAUCUUGGAGAAGAUCUUUGCAAUGCUAUGAAUGAGGCUGAUGGGCCUAAAAUCACUGACUCUCGCUGCAUCAGAUUUUUUGGGUAGAAGGACAAUGCAUGCAGAGUUUAGCCAUUCAAAACCCUGGGCAUUCAUUAUGAACAGGCUGUUUAUGGCAGCCAUAACAUCAUCUUUAAUAAUUUCCCAGCAAGCUUUGAAGAAAGCACCAGUGAAGCCAUCCGGUCCUGGCGCUUUGUCUGUAGGCAUGGAAUUUAUAGUAUUUUUUACCUCUUCCAGGGAGAAAGGCAGUUCCAAGUCUGAAAGAUCAUGUUGGGUGUAACCAAGAGAUUGCCAAUUGAUGGUUGUGGUUCUUGGAAUCGUAGAGCCAAUGUGAUUUUUGAAAUAAUCCCCUAUCACUUUUUCUUUUUCUUCAUGGGCAAUCGCAAUCCCCUCAUCCGUGUGUAGACAAUGUAUGUAGUUCUUUCUCCGACGCGCACUGGCUCGGAUGUGGAAAAAUUUGGUGUUGGCAUCCCCACAACGGAUGUAUGUGAGCCUCGAUCUUUGUCUGAUUCUUGAUUUUUCAAUGGCUGCGAGUUCCAUACUGCGGACUUUGAGGCGCCGGCAUAGGUGAAGCUCCAUAUCAGUGAGCAACCUAUGCUCUUGAGCUGCUUCUAAUUGCAACAGGACUUCUUUCACUAUGGCUAGCUGCAUCUUAGUGUCUCCUAUUUUUUCUUUCUUCCAACGUUUGAUUCCUUUAGCCACACGUGCCAUUUUGAUAUGUAAGCGUUUCAUAGGAAGAGCAGAGGCAACCGGCCUGUUCCAAAUGCUUUGGACAAGCUCCUGGAAGCCAUCCAUCUUAGUCCAAAAAUUUUCGAACCUGAAUGAAGUGUUCUGAUGGUGGUCAAGCUCUCCUUGCAGCAGCAACGGGGUGUGGUCUGACAUGAGAGAUGGUAGGGAGUGCAAGAAACAGCUGGGGAAGAUCAGUUCCCACUCCGGAGUGCAUAGGAGUCUAUCAAUUCUAGUGAGUGUUGGGGUGUCCUGCUGAUUGCUCCAAGUGAAGCGGCGUCCAUUCAGCUUGAUUUCUUUUAGCUUUAAGUGAUUGAUCGUGGCCCUAAAUGCUCCCAUGAGCCGCUGGUUUAGGUUGGAGUUGUUCUUGUCUUCCGCUUGGUAGAUUAGAUUAAAAUCACCCAGGAUGAGCCAUCUGUUGUGUUCCGGUGGAGGAAUGUUCUUUAAUUCUUGGAGGAAUUGAAGUUUGGCUGCAUCACCUUGUGGACCGUAUACGACUGUAAUUUGCCACUUUGUCCCAUCCGCCCUCAUGGUGAUUUGUGCAGUUAUUGCAUUCAUGGUUAGUUCAACAUCAGAGAGGUCGAAGAAGUCUUCAUUUACCGCAAGGAGAAUGCCUCCCCGAGUUUGUUCAGCCGGGAGCGUAGUAUAGGAGUUGACAAAUUUUGCUCCUACUGUACGGCUCACCACAUUUUGAUCUAUAAGCUGCAUCUUUGUUUCUUGUAGACACACAAUGGUGGCCCCGGUGCUUUUCACUAACUCGCUCACCGAGUCUUGCCGGACGCCGUCGUUCAAGCCCCUGACGUUCCAGUUAAGAAUUUGACAGUUUUGUUGUGCCAUAAAAACAAGCAAGAGACCCUUGUAUCAGCAGAACAUAUGGAGGGAGGUAAACUGCAGGCGAGCUGUAGGUUGCAGGAAAAACAUAGCCAAUUAAUCUGAGACACAUGCACUUGAAAACAACAAGCUGGAGGUGCCGAUUAAUCUGAAGGCCAGUGGCUGCCGGCGCGGUGAUACAAUGUAACAAAUUCUUGCGUACAGAGAUGCUGCUACAGCGAACUGCUAGGUGGAGGAGCUUCCCAGUUUGAUGGGGAGGCGACUGUAGGCCUCUGGCUGUCACCCCAUUCAACCCACAGAACUGGAAGCAUACAAACUGAAGGUCGACUCUAGUUGUGGAGCUCCUGGAGUGCUGAUGUUUUUCUAACAUUAAUACAUUAGGUGACACUUAGCCGUCAGCGGUUUCUAAGCUUGUGGAGUGGUUGCUGCAGCUGCUGCGUCAAGGCCGCACAGAGCCGUCAGAGCCUUCACAACGGCGUCGGUGAGUGGCCCCUUGAACAAAUAGAAGUAGCGCAGCAGCAGGUCGUCGUGGCUGAGUCCUUCAUUGUCGAGGAUGCCCAGCCUUUUCAUGAGCACCUGUCGAGCCUUGGCUUGAGUGUCGCCCCUUGGCCAAUUUCUGGCUGCUAUGCGCACACUCCUGCGUGCUGGAGCCGCCGCCCUCUUGCAUCGCUGCGACGGGCUGGCUCUGCGUGGUGGGACCUGCAAGAUGGGUUGGGGUAGGGGGUGUGAAAUUCCCUCUACAAACUCAGUCACAGCCAUCGUAGUAGCAGUUGAGCUGUCUCCAGCAGCCUGUACCUCCGAAACUUCGGAAGCCUGCUCCGGAAGUUGCUGCUGAAGUCCAUGUGCCGUGCGUCCACGGCGCGAGCAGGAUGCGGUUGAGCCUCGACCGCGGCGCCUGGAGUAUGUGCUCUGAAUGGUGACUCCAGUGGUUAAUAAACAUGCUUUGGGCUUAUACCAUCUGUUCCUAGGAAAGAUUUUUUAUCUAUUGAGAUCAUGCUUAUAGUUACCUGAGCUUGUGUUGGAAGUAUCAAGGAGAGGGAGGAUGGAAGCCACAGAAUUACACUGGACUAUGUGAGAAGAUUCUUGGGAAAAGUCAGACUGUGGCUGGAUUUUUCCUGAUUCAAUAUGCGCACCUGUGGAAAGAUCAUCUUGAAAAAUUGCUUAACCUUUAUGCCUCUGGAAAGCUAAAGGUUUUCGUUGACCCCAAGAAAUUCAUGGGUGUUUCUUCCGUGGCAGAUGCAGUAGAAUAUCUCCACUCUGGCAGGAGUGUUGGCAAGGUCGUUGUUUGCAUGGAUCCAUCCUAUGGCCAGACCCUUGCUAAGCUAUAAUGUGUACUUUGGAGCAUAUGGGCUGCAAUUUCAGCAGAAGAUUCUUCUUCAGGUUUACUGUGUACUGAAUUACUGAUGCGUAGAGUUACGCCGUAUGUUGGGAAUUGGCAGCACGUAGCUCGCUUGUCCAAGUUUGCAGUGCACGGACUAGGACGGGUGAAAAUUGGAAGGAAAUCGAAUAAGCCAGGUGGCUGUUUGUUUAAAUAAAGUGCUCUGCUCUAUUGUGAACUCUUUUGGAUAAAUAAAUGAAACUUCAGUGGAUAUUA